UCAACAAACUAAACAAGGAGAAACACCCCGGCGUCCCCCACCUCCCGACCUCCACCAACCCCCGCCGCCGCCCCAAUCCCCUAGCAUCCACCAGCCCUGUGCGCUGCGGCGCCGCCCUCGCUUCCUUCCGGCGCCCCGUCGGCCCACCUCCUCGGCCGCGCCGCGGAUCGGCCCCCUCCGCCGCGUCGCGGAUCCGCCCCCUCCUGGCAGAUCCCUCCCGCACGGCGAGCUAGAAGUUCGGAGCGCCACCACCGCUCCCUUCUCCAGCGACCCCUCCCGCACGGCGAGCUGGAUGCAGUUGAUCCCCGGGGCUUGGGCAGUUCAGCCCAUCCGGCGAGCACGGCCGUCUCCUGCCACCCCCAAUAGAUGCGACCCAGCGGGUCCGAUGGAUGCUCACACCGGGAGGCGGUGCUGCUCCGGCAAGCUCCUUCUUCCUCGAGCACAUUCGUCUCCAGCUGCCUUCGAACAGCCGCGACCCACCGAAUCCGACGGAUGCUCACGCGUCCUUGAGUGCGGCACGUCGACAACAACCUCCUUGUUCUCGUUCCCUCCUCCAUCCCCGAGCACAACUUCGACGAGCCUGUCGACAGGUUAGUCCUACUAACUGUUGUUCACCAUGAACUGGCUAUAGAGCAUUCGUGGCAGGUCGAGUAAAAUUCUCAUGGCCGUUCAAGUAAAACUGGAAGCGAGAGAAUUGAAAAUCUGACAGUAAGAAAGUUUUCGGAGAACGUUUUUAUGUUUGCUGGAAUCGCCUAGGUGAACUAACAUUGUUUACUUUGUGAAAAGUCUGAACGUGGUGUUUGGAUGAGAACUGGAGUUCAGGUUGUUGACUAGCUGAAGAUCCAACAGCCAUCUUUCUUAUUGGCAGUGGCCGCGAUAGUGGGCAUGGUGGUGGCCUUCGUGCAGCCGCCGAUGCGGUCAAAACAUUCAAUGCCUGUAGAGGCCCUGUAGGUCUCUCCAUUCAAUGCCUCUUGUGAAGUGACUUCACAAAUUUUAUCUUGUAUAAAGUGAUUCUGAACCUGUGAAACUGGUGAUCACAUAUCUAUAUCCCCCAAGCAGCAAUGCGGUGCGGGUGCUCAAUUUGGCUACAAAUUUUGCUAUAAUUUCUGAAGUGUUUCUGUGUUGUUGCUAUGAGGUGAAUUGUGGCUGUUUCGACGUUGACUACAGUUAACUUAUAGUGGAAUACACUUUGUUUGUAGCAUAUGCGUUCCAUUGAGAAAGCAAAAGCGUUGGGUUCAGUCUGAAAAAGUACGGCAAUUCAUUCACAUAUAUUGUGUUACCUCUGAACCAGAGAGUAAAUCACACAAAUGUAGCUCCUUUACUCUACAGGUUUGUCAUACAUUCGACGUUGGUGGCUUUUGUGCUAUUCUGCUCAAGAAAAAUGAUCUUUGGGGAACUUUGCUAGUAGUAGACACAAAGUGUGCUUUUAAAUACCUACAGAGCAUCAUAUCAUCUAUAUUUGUUUUGAAAUGCUAUGCAUAUCCAUUCUGGCCGCAAAAAUAUGCAUGGUUGACUGGCAGAAGUUCACUACGAGUUGUCAUAUUAUUCUUCAGAGUUCAGAUAAUUGUAUUUUGGGCCGCUGGAACCUGAUGGCUCAAGCUUGUAAAAGGAUAUUCAGAAGUUCGAAAAUAAAAAAUAGUGUCAUGUGUUGCUGCGUCCGUGCUAGGUCUUGUGUCUCGUGUGUGUCCGCACUCACUAUGUGGGUGCUUCGUGUGUUCGUGUGCGUGUCGUGC
rnacentral:rRNA from 1 species